rnacentral:rRNA from 1 species
UACGUAGGUGGCGAGCGUUGUCCGGAUUUACUGGGCGUAAAGAGCGCGCAGGCGGACCUGCAAGUCGGGGGUGAAAGCCCGAGGCUCAACCUCGGAACUGCCUUCGAUACUGCGGGUCUCGAGUCCGGGAGAGGUGAGUGGAAUUCCUAGUGUAGAGGUGAAAUUCGUAGAUAUUAGGAAGAACACCAGUGGCGAAGGCGGCUCACUGGCCCGGUACUGACGCUGAGGCGCGAAAGCGUGGGGAGCAAACAGG